UACGGGGGGGGCAAGCGUUGUUCGGAUUUACUGGGCGUAAAGGGAGUGUAGGCGGUUGGUCAAGUCGGAUGUGAAAGCUUCACCACUCAACGGGAAGACGUCAUCCGAAACUGGUCGGCUAGAGUAGGGUAGAGGCAAGCGGAAUUCCUGGUGUAGCGGUGGAAUGUGUAGAUAUCAGGAGGAACACGGUGGCGAAGGCGGCUUCUGGGACCUAGUGACCGCUGAGGCACGAAAGCUAGGGGGAGCAAACAGGA
rnacentral:rRNA from 1 species